rnacentral:rRNA from 1 species
UACGUAGGGCGCAAGCGUUAUCCGGAAUUAUUGGGCGUAAAGAGCUCGUAGGCGGUUUGUCGCGUCUGCCGUGAAAGUCCGGGGCUCAACUCCGGAUCUGCGGUGGGUACGGGCAGACUAGAGUGAUGUAGGGGGAGACUGGAAUUCCUGGUGUAGCGGUGGAAUGCGCAGAUAUCAGGAGGAACACCGAUGGCGAAGGCAGGUCUCUGGGCCGCAACUGACGCUGAGGAGCGAAAGCAUGGGGAGCGAACAGG